UCGACGCAAUCUGCGAUCCACAUUUCACAAAGUUUAACACGAUCUUUCAACUUGAAAUGAGAUGUUGAUCUGGAAGAUAUGCGAAGAAUGUGACAAAGGACUAUGUCAACGGUGCCCGAGGCUUUGCUGCAUUUACUGGUGUAUCUUGGUAAUUAAAAAAGAAUAGAUAAGUUGGUACCUGAAUAUUGGAUAAUCCUUCAUCUAAACCCAGAUCAUCGUAAGGAAAGCGAUCUUGGACUUCGAUUAAUCUAAACUAUAAAAGUAAUAAAUAUGAAUAACAUAAUAUUGACUGAAUUCUUCUGGAAUUUUUUUUCUUCAGUUUCAAAAAUAGUUAAAUAACGAAAGAACAACCAAUGCCUAGCGUGGAUAGAAUGAAACGAUGAAUUAUUGAGUAAAGGUUGAAACACAAAAAAUCUUUUUCUCGCUCAGCAAAACCUUUAUAAGCGAGUGAUUAACAGAGUAAAGAAAACAACCCAUUUUUCUGGUCGAAAGUAAAAAUACUGCAUGUAACUUUACAAUUUACAAGGUGGAAAUAGAAAUGCUCUAAAAUUUGAGGAUGAGUUAACAAGUGUGAUAUUUAGCAGUAAAAAGAUGAGAAUUGA